rnacentral:rRNA from 1 species
UAGAGAGUAUGAUCCCGGCUCAGGAUGAACGCUAGCGGCGCGCCUAAUACAUGCAAGUCGAGCGAGAAAGUCCCAAACACCUUCGGGUGGGCGGGGCGAGUAAAGCGGCGAACGGGUGAGUAACACGUAACUAACCUGCCCUCGCGACGGGGACAACUCCGGGAAACCGGGGCUAAUACCCGAUGGCAUCUCCCGGUCGAAAGACCGGACGAUUAAAGGGGCUUCGGCCUCGCGCGAGGAGGGGGUUGCGGCCCAUCAGCUAGACGGUAGGGUAACGGCCUACCGUGGCAAAGACGGGUAGGGGGCUUGAGAAGGCGGCCCCCCACAUGGGGACUGAGAUACGGCCCUGACUCCUACGGGAGGCAGCAGUAGGGAAUCUUCGGCAAUGGGCGAAAGCCUGACCGAGCGACGCCGCGUGGGGGAGGAAGGCCUUUGGGUCGUAAACCCCUUUUCUGGAGGAAGAAUAAACCUCGGAGGCAAUGCCGAGGUGAUGACGGUACUCCAGGAAGAAGCCACGGCUAACUCUGUGCCAGCAGCCGCGGUAAGACAGAGGUGGCGAGCGUUAUCCGGAUUCACUGGGCGUAAAGGGCGUCUAGGCGGCACGGUGUGUCUCCGGUGAAAGCCCUCGGCUCAACCGAGGGAGGUCCGGGGAAACUGCCGAGCUUGAGCGUCGGAGAGGGAAGUGGAACGGCUAGAGUAGCGGUGAAAUGCGCAGAUACUAGUCGGUACCUCAAUAGCGAAGGCAACUUCCUGGCCGAUGGCUGACGCUGAAGCGCGAAAGCGUGGGGAGCAAAGGGGAUUAGAUACCCCCGUAGUCCACGCCCUAAACGAUGUCCGCUAGGUGUUGGGCUCUUUAAUAGCAGCUCAGUGCCGCAGCUAACGCGUUAAGCGGACCGCCUGGGUAGUACGGCCGCAAGGCUAAAACUCAAGGGAAUUGACGGGGGCCCGCACAAGCGGUGGAGCACGUGGUUUAAUUCGAUGGUAAACGAAGAACCUUACCCGGGCUUGACAUGCACGUAGUAGGAGUCCGAAAGGAUGACGACCUGUUUCGUAAGAAGCAGGAGCGCGCACAGGUGCUGCAUGGCUGUCGUCAGCUCGUGUCGUAGGAUGUCGGGUUAAGUCCCAUAACGAGCGCAACCCCUGCUCUUAGUUGCCAGCAGUUCGGCUGGGCACUCUAAGGGGACCGCCGGUGAAUAGCCGGAGGAAGGAAGGGACGACGUCAAGUCAGUAUGGCCCUUAUGCCCGGGGCCACACACGUGCUACAAUGGGCGGUACAAAGGGUCGCCAACCCGCAAGGGGGAGCCAAUCCCACAAAGCCGUCCUCAGUUCGGAUUGGGGUCUGCAAUUCGACCCCAUGAAGCUGGAAUCGCUAGUAAUCACCGGUCAGCCAUACGGUGGUGAAUAUGUACUCGGGCCUUGUACACACCGCCCGUCACACCAGCCGAGUGGGGAUUGCUCGAAGUCCCCGUAAAGGGGCCGAAGGUGGUCUUCGCGAGGGGGGUGAAGUCGUAACAAGGUAGCCGUAGGAGAACCUGCGGCUGGAUCACCUCCUU